AGCGAACGCUGGCGGCAGGCCUAACACAUGCAAGUCGAACGGAUCCUUCGGGAUUAGUGGCGGACGGGUGAGUAACACGUGGGAACGUGCCCUUUGGUUCGGAACAACUCAGGGAAACUUGAGCUAAUACCGGAUGUGCCCUUCGGGGGAAAGAUUUAUCGCCAGUGGAGCGGCCCGCGUCUGAUUAGCUAGUUGGUGAGGUAACGGCCCACCAAGGCGACGAUCAGUAGCUGGUCUGAGAGGAUGAUCAGCCACACUGGGACUGGGACACGGCCCAGACUCCUACGGGAGGCAGCAGUGGGGAAUCUUGCGCAAUGGGCGAAAGCCUGACGCAGCCAUGCCGCGUGAAUGAUGAAGGUCUGAGGAUUGUAAAAUUCUUUCAGCGGGGACGAUAAUGACGGUACCCGCAGAAGAAGCUCCGGCUAACUUCG
rnacentral:rRNA from 1 species